GACGAACGCUGGCGGCGUGCUUAACACAUGCAAGUCGAACGGAAAGGCCCUGCUUUUGUGGGGUGCUCGAGUGGCGAACGGGUGAGUAACACGUGAGUAACCUGCCCUUGACUUUGGGAUAACUUCAGGAAGCUGGGGCUAAUACCGGAUAGGAGCUCCUGCUGCAUGGUGGGGGUUGGAAAGUUUCGGCGGUUGGGGAUGGACUCGCGGCUUAUCAGCUUGUUGGUGGGGUAGUGGCCUACCAAGGCUUUGACGGGUAGCCGGCCUGAGAGGGUGACCGGCCACAUUGGGACUGAGAUACGGCCCAGACUCCUACGGGAGGCAGCAGUGGGGAAUAUUGCACAAUGGGCGGAAGCCUGAUGCAGCAACGCCGCGUGCGGGAUGACGGCCUUCGGGUUGUAAACCGCUUUCGCCUGUGACGAAGCGUGAGUGACGGUAAUGGGUAAAGAAGCACCGGCUAACUACGUG
rnacentral:rRNA from 1 species